GAUGAAGAACGCAGCGAAAUGCGAUAAGUAAUGUGAAUUGCAGAAUUCAGUGAAUCAUCGAAUCUUUGAACGCACAUUGCGCCCGCCAGUAUUCUGGCGGGCAUGCCUGUCUGAGCGUCAUUUCAACCCUCAUGCCCCUAGGGCGUGGUGUUGGGGAUCGGCCAAAGCCCGCGAGGGACGGCCGGCCCCUAAAUCUAGUGGCGGACCCGUCGUGGCCUCCUCUGCGAAGUAGUGAUAUUCCGCAUCGGAGAGCGACGAGCCCCUACCGUUAAACCCCCAACUUUCCAAGGUUGACCUCAGAUCAGGUAGGAAUACCCGCUGAACUUAAGCAUAUCAAAAGCGGAGGA
rnacentral:misc_RNA from 1 species